rnacentral:tmRNA from 1 species
CCCCUUCCGUUUAGCGCUUGAAACGCCUAUAUUCAGAUUGCCGUCGCAAGGCGGCUAUGAGGAUAAACGAGCAUCGGAAUAAACCUUUCGGACCCGGGGGCGGUACCCGGCGCCUCCACCUAAGCGCAUGGCAUGGUUCGUUACCAUGGUAAGCUAUGCGCUUAGGCGGGGGCGAAAUAGGAUCGACGAGGGCGUAAAGGGUGAUCUUUCUUCCGGUAUGGUUCCGCCGUUAUCGGGCUUUUCUAUAGUUGCCAAUGACAACUAUGCUCCGGUGGCUCUCGCUGCGUAAUGCGGCGCUGGUACCGAAAUCAAAGCCCUUGCGCCUAGCAGCGUAAGGCGGGGCCCGGAGGCGCCUGGCAACAGAAGCCUCCACU